rnacentral:rRNA from 1 species
UUGCCCUAGUAACGGCGAGUGAAGCGGCAACAGCUCAAAUUUGAAAUCUGGCGUCUUUGGCGUCCGAGUUGUAAUUUGCAGAGGGCGCUUUGGCAUUGGCAGCGGUCCAAGUUCCUUGGAACAGGACGUCACAGAGGGUGAGAAUCCCGUACGUGGUCGCUAGCCUUUACCGUGUAAAGCCCCUUCGACGAGUCGAGUUGUUUGGGAAUGCAGCUCUAAAUGGGAGGUAAAUUUCUUCUAAAGCUAAAUACUGGCCAGAGACCGAUAGCGCACAAGUAGAGUGAUCGAAAGAUGAAAAGCACUUUGGAAAGAGAGUUAAAAAGCACGUGAAAUUGUUGAAAGGGAAGCGCUUGCAGCCAGACUUGCCUGUAGUUGCUCAUCCGGGUUUCUACCCGGUGCACUCUUCUAUAGGCAGGCCAGCAUCAGUUUGGGCGGUUGGAUAAAGAUCUCUGUCAUGUACCUCUCUUCGGGGAGAACUUAUAGGGGAGAUGACAUGCAACCAGCCUGGACUGAGGUCCGCGCAUCUGCUAGGAUGCUGGCGUAAUGGCUGUAAGCGGCCCGUCUUGAAACACGGACCAAGGAGUCUAACAUCUAUGCGAGUGUUUGGGUGUCAAGCCCGAGCGCGUAAUGAAAGUGAACGGAGGUGGGAGCCUUUCGGGGUGCACCAUCGACCGAUCCUGAUGUCUUCGGAUGGAUUUGAGUAAGAGCAUAGCUGUUGGGACCCGAAAGAUGGUGAACUAUGCUUGAAUAGGGUGAAGCCAGAGGAAACUCUGGUGGAGGCUCGCAGCGGUUCUGACGUGCAAAUCGAUCGUCAAAUUUGGGCA